GGGCGGAAUGCCAUCAACGUCAAGAUAUAAGUGCUACUUUGAUUGUGACAAUGACGGCCCAUUGCACCGAUUUCCUAAACCUGAAUACCCACAUUUGGAAAAGUUUAACUCGUGGAAAAAGUACUAGAUAAAGCUUUACAAGAGAAAGGCGACAUCUACAUUUAUAACCAAAUUCGAUUUUGCGACAGACAUUUUGAAGAGUGUUACCGUUCAGCCAGUCACCGACUUACUCCAAAUGCAAUACCAACUCUAGAUUUAUCUACAUUACCAGUUGGUCAAACUCUUGAAGGUCCAUCGGGACAUGUCGAGGCAGACAUGUCGAAUUUAUUAAACAUUUCGCAAGAUAAACUUGCUGUCAUUGAGCCAUCCAGCUCUACCCACUAUCAUAGUGAUGUACAGAAUGCAUUACAGACAGCUGAACGCCCUAAAGGUUCUAGGAAAAGAGGGACUUGUCAAUAUUUAAAACGAGUCGUCACCUCAAAGAGAAGGAGAUAAUAAAGUUAAAACAGAAAGUAUUGAAGCUGAAAAAGAAAUAUAAGGAACAAAAUAACAAGAAACUCUCUGCAAGGAAAAUUUCCACAUCAAAAUCAUUUUUGAAAGAGUUAAAUAAAAUGCCUGCAACAAUAAAAAUAUUUACUUCCCUCCAAAUGAAAUGGAAAAAGAAACCACGAGGCAGGCGAUUUACAUUUAACGAAAAAUCAUGGCAUUGACCAUUUACAAA